AAAAAAAAAUUGGGAAUGUGAUUCCACAAAAAGGUCCGCCAUACCGACGGUACCGGUACAGUACCGGUAUCAUUCCGAAUCGAACCGGAUCGUACCGAUCCAAUUCGGGGACAGCGCGCUCUCACGCGCGCGGCCCCGUGCUCGCGAAACGUGUUUCCGCCCGUUUUCCUCGUUUUCCUACUUAAAACUGCACCCACAAACGCGUUUCCCCGCGUCGUUUCCCUUGCAGGAUGCAUUUUCCGCGUGGGAUUUUCUUCCUUCUUUACGAGCCUUCCCGUUUCUUCUCCUCUCUCCUCCGCUCUUCUCCCGUGAGCAAGCCCUGACGAGGAUCCUCUCUCCUCCGCUCUUCUUCCGCGAGCAAGCCCCGACGAGGAUCGCACCUCGACGAGGCCCGGUACCGGUAAG
rnacentral:lncRNA from 1 species